UUCUUAUCAAGAGCAGGUGGAGGGACUAGCCCUAUGAAGCCCGGCAACCGACUUAAGAUUUAAUUUAAGCACGGUGCUAAUUCUUGCAGCAGUUAUGCUGAUAGAUAAGGA
rnacentral:ncRNA from 2 species